rnacentral:rRNA from 1 species
UGGGGAAUAUUGGACAAUGGGGGCAACCCUGAUCCAGCCAUGCCGCGUGUGUGAAGAAGGCCUUUUGGUUGUAAAGCACUUUAAGCAGGGAGGAGAGGCUAAUGGUUAAUACCCAUUAGAUUAGACGUUACCUGCAGAAUAAGCACCGGCUAACUCUGUGCCAGCAGCCGCGGUAAUACAGAGGGUGCGAGCGUUAAUCGGAAUUACUGGGCGUAAAGCGAGUGUAGGUGGCUCAUUAAGUCACAUGUGAAAUCCCCGGGCUUAACCUGGGAACUGCAUGUGAUACUGGUGGUGCUAGAAUAUGUGAGAGGGAAGUAGAAUUCCAGGUGUAGCGGUGAAAUGCGUAGAGAUCUGGAGGAAUACCGAUGGCGAAAGCAGCUUCCUGGNAUAAUAUUGACACAGAGAUUCGAAAAGCGUGGGUAGCAAACAGGAUUAGAUACCCUGGUAGUCCACGCCGUAAACGAUGUCUAUAGCCGUUGGGGUCUUGAGACUUUAGUGGCGCAGUUAACGCGAUAAGUAGACCGCCUGGGGAGUACGGCCGCAA